AGGUGACUGAUGUCAAACCAGAGACUCUUAACCCAGUGUGGAAUGAACACUUUGUUUUUGACAUUGAUGAUGUUCACAAUGACCUGCUCCAUCUGGACAUAUGGGAUCACGAUGACGAUGUUUCUGUUGCGGAAGCCUGUAAGAAGCUGAAUGAAAUUAGUGGAUUCAGAGGAAUGGGCAGAUAUUUCAAGCAAAUUGCCAAAUCCGU